rnacentral:rRNA from 1 species
UACAGAGGGGGCAAGCGUUGUUCGGAUUCAUUGGGCGUAAAGCGCGCGUAGGCGGCUCGGAAAGUCGGUCGUGAAAUGCCGGGGCUCAACCCCGGGACUGCGUCCGAUACUCCCGAGCUGGAGGCAGGUAGGGGAGAUCGGAAUUCCUGGUGUAGCGGUGAAAUGCGCAGAUAUCAGGAGGAACACCGGUGGCGAAGGCGGAUCUCUGGGCCUUGCCUGACGCUGAGGCGCGAAAGCUAGGGGAGCGAACAGG